GAUGAACGCUGGCGGCGUGCCUAAUACAUGCAAGUCGAGCGAACAGAUAAGGAGCUUGCUCCUUUGACGUUAGCGGCGGACGGGUGAGUAACACGUGGAUAACCUACCUAUAAGACUGGGAUAACUUCGGGAAACCGGAGCUAAUACCGGAUAACAUAUUGAACCGCAUGGUUCAAUAGUGAAAGGCGGCUUUGCUGUCACUUAUAGAUGGAUCCGCGCCGUAUUAGCUAGUUGGUAAGGUAACGGCUUACCAAGGCAACGAUACGUAGCCGACCUGAGAGGGUGAUCGGCCAAAAUGGAACUGAGACAAGGUCCAGACUCCUAAGGGAGGCAGCAGUAGGGAAUCUUCCGGAAUGGGCGAAAGCCUGACGGAGCAACGCCGCGUGAGUGAUGAAGGUCUUCGGAUCGUAAAACUCUGUUAUCAGGGAAGAAAAAAUGUGUAAGUAACUGUGCACAUCUUGGCGGUAACUGAUCAGAAAGCCACGGCUAAAUACGUG
rnacentral:rRNA from 1 species